CAGUAGCCGCGGUAAUACAGAGGGUGCAAGCGUUAAUCGGAGUUACUGGGCGUAAAGGGCGCGUAGGCGGUUAUUUAAGUGAGUUGUGAAAUCCCUGGGCUUAACCUAGGAACUGCAACUUAUACUGGAUAGCUGGAGUACUGUAGAGGGUAGUGGAAUUUCCGGUGUAGCGGUGAAAUGCGUAGAGAUCGGAAGGAACACCAGUGGCGAAGGCGGCUACCUGGACAGAUACUGACGCUGAGGCGCGAGAGCGUGGGGAGCAAACAGGAUUAGAUACCCCCGUAGUCCCUGUCUCUUAUAC
rnacentral:rRNA from 1 species